GAAGAAGUGAGGUUGAAAGAUCGAAAAAGGAGGCGAAAACAAAACACACUACAGGAUGAUGUAGAUGACUCCCCCCCAAGAAGUCACAGCAUGUCACAUCAGCAUCCAGCUCUGCAGGAUCAGACAAUACUGAAAACAAAAUGAACAGCGAACUGGGAGCUGUGAACUGGGAAGCAGAUGUUCUUCUAAGGGACACCCUAGAAGCAGCAAGGUGGUGUGAACGCCAAACAUUUAAAGGCACCGUUUCCCUCCCUAGUGUAAUUGGGAUGGAGGGGGAAGACCGUAUUACAACCCUUAAAGAACUACGGUUGUAUGAUGGCCUGGAUGAAGAGGAAAAUAUUCUCCUCAAGGAACCAUUCAUGUUCUCGUUCCAGUUACAGAGAGAUUAUUAGAUGUUCUAUGUGGAGGCAGUUGACAACAAGAAAAUUACUGUCUUUGUCUCUUUUGAGGAGCAGGAGUGAAGCCAUUUUUGAGGAGUGGUCAAACCUUG